GACGAACGUUGGCGGCGUGCUUAACACAUGCAAGUCGAACGGAAAGGCCCUGCUUUUGUGGGGUGCUCGAGUGGCGAACGGGUGAGUAACACGUGAGUAACCUGCCCUUGACUUUGGGAUAACUUCAGGAAACUGGGGCUAAUACCGGAUAGGAGCUCCUGCUGCAUGGUGGGGGUUGGAAAGUUUCGGCGGUUGGGGAUGGACUCGCGGCUUAUCAGCUUGUUGGUGGGGUAGUGGCUUACCAAGGCUUUGACGGGUAGCCGGCCUGAGAGGGUGACCGGCCACAUUGGGACUGAGAUACGGCCCAGACUCCUACGGGAGGCAGCAGUGGGGAAUAUUGCACAAUGGGCGGAAGCCUGAUGCAGCAACGCCGCGUGCGGGAUGACGGCCUUCGGGUUGUAAACCGCUUUCGCCUGUGACGAAGCGUGAGUGACGGUAAUGGGUAAAGAAGCACCGGCUAACUACGUGCCAGCAGCCGCGGUGAUACGUAGGGUGCGAGCGUUGUCCGGAUUUAUUGGGCGUAAAGGGCUCGUAGGUGGUUGAUCGCGUCGGAAGUGUAAUCUUGGGGCUUAACCCUGAGCGUGCUUUCGAUACGGGUUGACUUGAGGAAGGUAGGGGAGAAUGGAAUUCCUGGUGGAGCGGUGGAAUGCGCAGAUAUCAGGAGGAACACCAGUGGCGAAGGCGGUUCUCUGGGCCUUUCCUGACGCUGAGGAGCGAAAGCGUGGGGAGCGAACAGGCUUAGAUACCCUGGUAGUCCACGCUGUAAACGGUGGGUACUAGGUGUGGGGUCCAUUCCACGGGUUCCGUGCCGUAGCUAACGCUUUAAGUACCCCGCCUGGGGAGUACGGCCGCAAGGCUAAAACUCAAAGGAAUUGACGGGGCCCCGCACAAGCGGCGGAGCAUGCGGAUUAAUUCGAUGCAACGCGUAGAACCUUACCUGGGUUUGACAUGGAUCGGGAGUGCUCAGAGAUGGGUGUGCCUCUUUUGGGGUCGGUUCACAGGUGGUGCAUGGCUGUCGUCAGCUCGUGUCGUGAGAUGUUGGGUUAAGUCCCGCAACGAGCGCAACCCUUGUUCACUGUUGCCAGCACGUUAUGGUGGGGACUCAGUGGAGACCGCCGGGGUCAACUCGGAGGAAGGUGGGGAUGACGUCAAGUCAUCAUGCCCCUUAUGUCCAGGGCUUCACGCAUGCUGCAAUGGCUGGUACAGAGAGUGGCGAGCCUGUGAGGGUGAGCGAAUCUCGGAAAGCCGGUCUCAGUUCGGAUUGGGGUCUGCAACUCGACCUCAUGAAGUCGGAGUCGCUAGUAAUCGCAGAUCAGCAACGCUGCGGUGAAUACGUUCCCGGGGCU
rnacentral:rRNA from 1 species